rnacentral:lncRNA from 1 species
UUCCUCUCUUGUUUCUAUUUGUGUAAAUAUGUUGUGUAUCUUGUGUCGUAGAGUUGCGUUCUAAAUAGAAAGAAAAAAAAAAAGAGAGAAAAGAGACAAGAUGAAAAAAAAAAUACAGAAAAAUGAGAAAAAAGUAAAAAAGUUUGUGAAUAAAGGAGUCAAGAAGAGGAUGGAAUAAAAGGUUUUGGGUGUGAGUAUAAUGUGUUUACACUUGUUCCCCAUUGCUCCUCUAUUUCCUUUAGUUUGUAGCUUCUCACCAUAUUUUGUCCUCCCUUGUCCUUGGCCCCAUUUCAUCCAUAAAAGACCUUUUGAUUUGAACAUGCAUAUGUUUUGAGUGUUGAUAUUAGAGGCUUGCCAAGUCUGUUUGUGUUUGCUUUCUUGAGGGCAUUGAGUUGACAUUGUUUAUCUUAUACACUUGAGAGAAACACUGAUAGUGUGCAUCUGUGAGGGUUUGUUACUUUUGAUUCCUUUCUUGAACUGAUUGAUCAUUUUGCCAUGCUUGGAAUUGCUUUAAUGACUUCAUGAGUAUCUAUUUUCUCUGAUCUUGUGUUGGAUACUGUCUACUUCCUUUUUCUUUUCCAGAUUUCUUGAGAACUGUGUGAUUUUGUUUCUUUCAUUGUGAGUCUUUGUUUUCUGUGUGUUGAGUCUGUGUCACUCCCCUGAUGUCCUCUAAUUUGUUCCCUGAUUAGCGUCUUGAUUUUGCCCAAGAGUGCAAAAGACUAAGUGUUGUCUAUUUUGAUGAGUCAAUAUUUUCUCGACUUCAUUUUUCCACUUUUACUAAUUGUGCUUAAUUUGACUAGAAUUUCUAAUUUUAAUUAAUUUGAAUUUUCUGAGCUAAUUAAUUGCAUUAUUUAUUGCAGGAAAAUUUUGCAGAUACAAUUUUGGACAUUAGGGAUGACAUCAAUUCAUUCGAGACUCUCCACAAAGACACUUUAGAAUUAGGCAAAUUUUAAUUUAGUAGAUUAGGCUUUUUAAACUAAGUUUGUAAUUUUGGGCCAAUUUUUGGUAGUGAUAGACUAAGCCCAAUUGUAGAGAAGGAUGAUUUGGCACAUAGGGUUUCUUUAGGGUGGACCUCACCCUCUCAUUUAGUGACACUUGGUACUAGGAUUUGGAGGCAGCCGUCACAUUUUAUUUUUUUUUCCAACAGACUCGGCGUUUUUCAUCUUUGGGGGGCUGAAAAUGUUUUCUUUCAUGGGGGAUAUAGAUACUUGUCACGGUUUUUUUUUCAUGGCUUGAAUGAAGAAAAGAAUUUUUCCAUUUUCUAUUUUUCUGCAAGGGCUGAUCUACUUUGCUGCUGUUGUUUUAAUUUUUAUAUUCCAAAAACAAUCACAUGUUGUUUGGCUGUGAGGGGAUGAGCUACGUUUUAUUUUCUCUUGCAUUGAAUAGAUGAGGUUACGUGUUGAAAGAUGGAAGGCAUGUGACAUUUUACGUAGAUGAUGUUGCACAGUUUUAUUUUGGAGAAGGCUUGGCUGCCACUUUGAUGAAGUUUGGUUACGCUACUGUGUGCUUCCAAAUGAAGCAAGUGGUCACGUCAAUAUGCACCAAAAUGCCUUUGAAGAAUUGAAGAGGUGAAUAGGUAGGAGUAGGUAGGCACAUGUUGGUCCUUGGUGAAAGCACAUUUAAUUUUAUUGAAGCAAUUGAGUACCCAAGCUAGAGAGGGUGUUCACGGUCUUUGUUGAAUGAAUGGUGGGACCGGUGGUUGGAAGUUUUGUGCUUUGAUUUCACUUUUUAGAAUGAAGUAGAUUAGAUGGGAGUAGUUGGAUGUGUUAAGGUCUUGGGAAAGGAGCUCAAUGAUGACUUCACUUUCAAUUUUAUCUUCAUUUAGAAAGCAAAAAAAAAGGGAACACGGUGGUUAAUGGGAAGAGCUGCAGCCAUCAUUUAGUCAUUAGCAUGUUGCCUUUUUAGUUUAUCUCAUUGAGUAGAAGUGUUGCCCCAUCAAGUUAGGUGUUAACGGAUUGGCAAGCGUACCAAAUCGUAUCAAGUAAUAAUAAAUGGUAAGUCCAAGUAUCGUUGUCCCAACAGACUCACGACACUAAACUGUUGUGUUUUUGCUUAACCAAUCAAGACUAUAAAAAUAAUAUUUUGGGAUUUUUAUAAAGUGCAGAAAAAUAAACAUGAAUGCAAUUUGAUCAAUUGAGGUUAAACACAAAAGUGGAUGGAUGAAUGGAGUUGUUGGGGGUUUACAAUUUCAUCUUAUCCGCUCUCUCUUAUUUACUCCUCUUGAUUUAUUUGCUUGAUUAACUAAUUAUUAUGCAACUUUCUUGCCCUCCCCUUAACCCGAUCCCUCGGUGAAAAUGGCCUAUUACUAAUUACUAGCUUGCUAUCCCUAGCCUCCCCUAGCAAUUAAUAACGCAUUAUAGAACAGAAGCAAAAACAAUUGAUCGUCCUACCCCUAUCCCUAGGUGGUAUUGCUUAAUCAAGGAAUUACUCACCAGUUCAUGACAUUACUGUACGUCCCCGUAUUAAUAAAGACAAACAACAAUUAUCGAAUGAGUUAAACUAUAAAAGCAUUAAGCACAUAUGAGAACCCAACAAUUGAUAAUCAAAGCAUAUGAAAAUCAUAUAAAUAAACAAGAGUUUCAAUAAAAGAGAGUUUAGAGGUUACAUCUUUCCCCAACAACAAAUAAGAUUAGUUCCCCAUCGUCAUGGAGAAACUAGGUGAAUAAUUGAAUGAAAGAGAUAGAAACCCUAAAAAGGAGAAAAGGAGAGUUGUCACCAUCUCCAAAUCUAGCCCCAAAGGAGUGAAAAGUGUGUUUUUGUGCCUAGGCCAUCAAAAGAUACAAACCCUAAGAUGUUCUGGCCUUUAAAUAGGGCAUAAAAAUGACAUAAAACAAGCCCAAGCCCAAAUAGAUCAUAAAAAAUAACAUAAAACAGGUCCACGCCCAUCUGACAACCGCCCGACGCCUAAUUUCACUGCUAGGCGGUUUCCCUCAAGCCGCAGCACCGCCCGACGCUGGUCAACUGCACUNUGGUCAACUUUUCAGCAUUCUGGUCAACUGGUUGACUUUUCUGGUUGACCGGUUGACUAUUUGGUUGACUAGUUGACUUUUCUGCAUUUUGUUUAACUUUUCUGCACUCCAACCAGUUGAUAAUUCAACAAUUCUUUCAAGUCAUUCCAAAAACCUACAAAAUCAAGGGAAUUUAACGAAAAAAUCAUAAAACACAUCCUCAACUCUUUUAUUCACAAAAAUAAAGAAAACUCAUGAUUCCAAGCAACUUUCUAAGUCAAAAGGGUGUUUUUGAUAUCAAAAUUAAGUAUGAAAAUAACUGUUUUUAAACCUUUAUCAUUAGGUAGACUACAAAUACAUAGAUGAAUUAAUUUUUAUUGGGAAAAAGGAUGCACAUGCAAUUAAUGAAGGGAUGUGACAGCUUGAUUUGGAGAAAGUGAACUUAAUUCAUUGCUUGGAGAUGGCAUUGUCACGUUGCUGGAAGAGGGAAAUUUUUCCCAAUUUUAUUAUUCUUUGAGGUCAACACGUGGAAGCCCAACAAAUGGGAGGUCACGGCCAAAGCUUACUCUUUAGGAGCUUUGCAAAUUCAAUUUCCUUUUGAUAAAAGCACUUGGUCAUAUGAAUGGUAGAAUAAAAUUGUGUUGUUUAUUUCUUUUGCCUUAAAAUAUUUUGCAUUGUAUUUUGAGUUGUUUUUCAUUUUCUUAAUUUAGUGUGCAUUUUAAUAGUUUUAAAUGUGCUUAGAUAUUUGUUUGCUCUAGUUUUGGGCUUAGCAUUUUCACUCUCUUUGAUGCUUUUUAUGAUGUUUGAAUGUGUUUAAUUUUUAUUUUUAAUUUCGUUAGUUGCAUUCACAUAACCACUUUCACAACCCCCCCCAUUGUGUGUGUUCGACUUAAUUCUUGAACCAUUGUUUGGUCCUUGAGAGAUGACCUAGGAGUCACUUCCUAGUUAUACUGCAUUUCUCAUAUGCAAUCAAAUUUGUAUGGGCUGCGACACCCAUCAUUGAUACUCUGAUUAGUUUGAAAUCCUUGCUUUUCUUUGCUUGGAAAGAGGAUUAUGAUGUUUGAGAGGUUGAUUUGAUUGUGACAAUUACCCUGUGUGAGAUUUGAGCCACUUGAUAUUCUUUCUUGUGUGUGAUAUGUCUCUUGAUUGCUUGCACAUAUGCAUUGGCUUGACUCUUUUUAAUACUUCUUGAUUGAUAUGCAUGUUUGGAAGUGAUAAAGGCAGUUUUGUUGUUGAGCCUAUUUGAUAGCCCCUUUGAGCCUACCCUGUUUUUAUCCUUUGAUAGCCCCUUUGAGCCUUUACUUUCCCCAUUUCUUUGUUUUGAAGCUCAUACACUAGCCCUAAGUGAAAAACCAUGAUUACUUUAACCUUAGGGAAUUUUGGAGCUUCGGAAUUGUUUUGGGAAUAAGUGUGGUCUCUUGGGAGAUUCAGAGAAUUGGCUAGUUGGUUCCUCUUCUUGUUUUUGUUUUGUAAAUAUGUUAUAUUUCUUGUCUCAAAGAGUUGUGUUCUUCAUAGAGAAAAAAAGAAAAGAGACAAGAUGAAAAAAAAAAUACAGAAAAAUGAAAAAAAAAAUUGUGAAUAAUGGAGUCGAGAAGAGGAUUGAAUUAGAGGUUUUGGGAGUGAAUUGAAUGUGUUUACACUUGUUCCCCAUUGCUCCUCUAUUCCUUUUGGUUUGUAGCUUCUCAUCCAUAUUUAUCCUCCCUUACCCUUGGCCCCAUCACAUCCAUAAAAGACCUUUUGAUUUGAACAUGCAUAUGUGUUUGAAUGUUGAUAUUAGAGGCUUGCCAAGUCUGUUUGUGUUUUCUU